rnacentral:rRNA from 1 species
GUGGGGAAUAUUGGACAAUGGGCGAAAGCCUGAUCCAGCCAUGCCGCGUGUGUGAAGAAGGCCUUCGGAUUGUAAAGCACUUUAAGUUGGGAGGAAGGGCAGUAAGUUAAUACCUUGCUGUUUUGACGUUACCGACAGAAUAAGCACCGGCUAACUUCGUGCCAGCAGCCGCGGUAAUACGAAGGGUGCAAGCGUUAAUCGGAAUUACUGGGCGUAAAGCGCGCGUAGGUGGUUUUGUAAGUUGGAGGUGAAAUCCCCGGGCUCAACCUGGGAACUGCCUCAAAAACUGCAUGACUAGAGUACGGUAGAGGGUAGUGGAAUUUCCUGUGUAGCGGUGAAAUGCGUAGAUAUAGGAAGGAACACCAGUGGCGAAGGCGACUACCUGGACUGAUACUGACACUGAGGUGCGAAAGCGUGGGGAGCAAACAGGAUUAGAAACCCCUGUAGUCC